rnacentral:lncRNA from 1 species
AUCCUUAUAUUUGGCAUUAUCCCUAAACCCGUGUGGGUUCUCCUAUUUGUCAUUAUUCUAAUGUGACACUUGCAUUGAAUCUAAAAGAAAACUUUUAGCAUACCUUCAAAAUUAAAAAUUAAAAAAAAAUAUAUAUUAUUUGCAUACACAUGCAUUUGCAUACAUGCACAUACAUUUGCAUAUCCUUUCCACUUUCGACUUUCCUCCAACUUUCUAGCUA